CCGAAAAACGCGUGCACCUGCGCUAGCGCCCCAGCUUCCGGUUAGGGAGCCCAGGGAAUAAAUUUGAGGCGGAUGAAGAUGCGGGCGCCGUUUUUUCCCUUCGCUGCCGCUGCCCCGCCCGUCACGCUCCCCAGCCCUUGAGUUUGGCGGCUGGAUCUCCGGGAACGCGGUCGGGCGGGCCGCGCCAUGGAGGAAGGCGCGUCCCGCAUCCGCCGGCGGGUGUGUGUCCGCAAGAGGACCCGGCCAGGCUUGGCGAGCGCGUGCACAGCCCCCGCUGAGGCCGAAGAGGAGGACGCGGGGGCCGGGGGCCGGCGGAGAAAGACCGCGCAGCCGGCGGAGCAUUAUGACAGUGAAGAGGACAUGUUUGGAGACUAUGAUAGCUUUAGUGAAAAUUCCAUUUUAGCCCAAGUUGAGGACCUAGAACAGAAAUACAUGCAACUUCCUGAACGGGGAGAACAUGCUACAGACUUUGCCACUGAAGAUCUUUGCAAAGAGAGCAUCAAAAACAAGCUUAGUGUUACUCAUGUAAGUGACUUGACUGACCGUGAAACUGAUGAGCAGACGGAGAACCAGCCUGGGUGUGAAGGUGUCGCUGCUGAACCUGGAGAUGACCCUUUGUAUGACGUGCCAUCUUCCCAGGUUUUAUACUUUGAAAACCUGCAGAACCCUUCAUGUGAUUUGCACCACCAAUCCGCUCAAGAAAGGGACCAGGGCCCAUCCUGUCACAAGACUGGGAGUGAAGAAUUGCAACACAAGCGAAAUGAUGAAUUGUCUCCUAAAAUCCAAACUAGUUCAGACACAAAUAGGAGAAAAAGCAUUAAAGAGUAUCUAAAAAGUGCCAUGACUGGAAAUGCCAAGGCCCAAACACCAGUAUUUUCUAGGAAUAAACAGCUCAAAGAGGCUCUCCUCUGUGAAGAGCUUACUGUUGCUAAGAGGACAAUUGAGUCAUCGUCUGAUGACCUUGGCCCUUUUUAUUCAUUACCCAGCAAAGUGAGAGACCUUUAUGUUCAGUUCAAAGGAAUUGAAAACUUAUAUGAAUGGCAACAUACCUGCUUAACACUGAGUUGUGUGCAAGAACGAAAAAAUCUAAUUUAUUCCUUGCCAACAAAUGGUGGGAAAACCCUUGUAGCUGAGAUCCUGAUGCUACAGGAAUUGCUUUGCCGCCGAAAAGAUGUUUUAAUGAUCCUUCCUUAUGUGGCACUUGUCCAAGAAAAGAUUUCAGGUUUGUCAAGUUUCGGUCUAGAACUCGGUUUCUUUGUUGAAGAGUAUGCGGGAAGCAAAGGACGAUUUCCCCCGACUAAAAGAAGGGAGAAGAAAUCACUAUACAUUGCCACGAUUGAGAAAGCACAUAGCCUGGUGAACUCCUUGAUUGAAACUGGAAGGAUUAGUAGUCUGGGUCUGGUUGUCGUAGACGAGUUGCACAUGAUUGGUGAAGGAAGCCGUGGGGCAGUCCUGGAAAUGACCCUCUCAAAAGUCCUCUACACGAGCAAAGCAACUCAAAUUAUUGGUAUGAGCGCAACGUUAAACAAUGUCAAGGACCUGCAGGAGUUCCUUCAAGCAGAGUACUACAGCAGCCAGUUUAGACCAGUUGAAUUAAAAGAAUAUCUGAAAAUAAAUGAUACAAUAUAUGAAGUUGACAACAGAGCUGAAAGCAACAUGACUUUCUCACGCCUCCUUCAUUAUAAGUAUUCUGAUUCCCUGAAAAAGAUGGAUCCCGAUCACUUGGUGGCAUUGGUGACAGAGGUUAUACCCAGUUAUUCCUGCUUAGUUUUUUGUCCCAGUAAGAAGAACUGUGAAAAUGUAGCAGAAAUGUUAUGCAAAUUUUUAAACAAGGAAUACCUGAAGCACAGAGAGAAGGAGAAGUGUGAGCUGAUUAAGCACUUGAGGAGCAGCAGCGGGGGCCACCUGUGUCCUGUCCUGAGGCGCACCGUGCCCUUCGGAGUCGCCUACCACCACAGCGGCCUCACCAGCGAGGAGCGGAAGCUGCUGGAGGAGGCUUACUCCGCCGGCGUCCUCUGCCUUCUCGCCUGCACAUCCACUCUGGCGGCGGGGGUCAACCUGCCUGCUCGCAGAGUUAUUUUAAGAGCUCCCUACGUGGCUAAAGAAUUUUUAAAGAGGAGUCAAUAUAGACAGAUGAUUGGCAGAGCUGGUCGUGCCGGAAUCGAUAGCGUUGGGGAAAGCAUACUCAUACUCCAAGAACAAGACAAGCACAAGGUCUUGGAGCUCAUAAGCAGACCACCAGAAAACUGUUAUAGCCAUCUUGUCCAGCAGUUCACCAAGGGAAUCCACACUUUGUUUCUCUCUUUGAUUGGCUUGAAGAUCGCAGCAAAUCUUGGUGACAUAUAUAACUUCAUGAAUGGUACAUUUUUUGGUGUUCAGCAAAAGAUUUUAUUGAAAGAAAAAAGUCUCUGGGAAAUAACUGUCGAAUCACUUAGAUACCUGACAGAAAAAGGGCUCCUACAGAGAAACCCUAUUUCGGAGUCUGCCGAAGAGUUGCAAUGUAAUUUUCAUAUUACAAAAUUGGGGCAAGCUUCUUUUAAGGGAGCGAUAGAUCUGGCUUACUGUGACACUCUCUAUAGAGACCUGAAGAAGGGUCUGGAAGGUCUGGUGCUUGAAAACCUCCUUCAUCUGAUCUACCUGACAACUCCCUAUAAUCUGGUUUCUCAGUGUGACCCCGAUUGGAUGAUAUACUUCAGGCAGAUUAGCCAGCUCAGUCCAGCUGAGCAAAACGUAGCCACCCUGCUUGGUGUCUCUGAAAGCUACAUUGCGAAGAAGGCGUCAGGCCAAGCCACCAGGAAGAAAGUGGACAAGGACAUUGUCAACAGGCUCUACCUCUCCCUUGUCCUCUAUGCCUUGCUCAAAGAGACCAGCGUUUGGAGCGUGUCUGAAAAAUUCAAUCUUCCUCGAGGAUCUAUACAAAACCUGCUCGCUGGCGCUGCCUCCUUCUCGUCCUGUGUGUUACAUUUCUGCGAGGAGCUUGAGGAGUUUUGGGUUUACAGAGCCCUGCUGGCGGAACUUACCAAGAAGCUGACGUACUGCGUAAAGGCAGAGCUGAUCCCGCUCAUGGAAGUCUCUGGAGUCUUAGAGGGUCGAGCAAAACAGUUAUACAGUGCAGGUUACAGAAGUCUAAUGCACUUGGCCAGCGCUGACCCCGAAGUGCUGAUAAGGACAAUCGAUCAUUUAUCACGACGCCAAGCCAGACAAAUUGUUUCAUCUGCAAAGGGGACAGUGCUGAGAGCCGGGACAGUGAAGGCCGACUGCGUAUUAUCAGGGGUGUGAACGGAGCUGCAGGCACAAUGGACGAAAUAAGUGACGUCCGGCAAGUGCGGCAGAGCAGGUCACAGCGGGUGCAGAGCCCACGGUCUGUCCAGGGGCCGGUGCUCCUGUGUCAUGGCGCCUCCGCUCCUCAGAAAUCACCCGCUUUGGUCCUCAACUUCUCUUCCACAUUGUGUACAGCUUAAACGCGUAGUUGGAGGCACCUUGAGACCAUGCCGCUAAGUGAAGUCAGUCAGACACACAGCGUAAUAGCACGUGGCUUCUCUUAUGCGAGAAACUCAAUGCAUAGAUAAAGAGCAACAUAAAAGAUGCUGCUGCAGGAGAAGGCAGAAGCUCUGCGAGAGGAGGUGGAGGAGCUGCUGAGGGUACCCGCCGACGUCCCCAGCGUCGUGGCC